UACGGAGGGUGCGAGCGUUGUCCGGAAUCAUUGGGCGUAAAGGGCGCGUAGGUGGCCCGGUCAGCGUGCGGUGAAAGCUCGGGGGCUCAACCCCCGAGUCGGCCGUGCGAACUGCUGGGCUCGAGCACUGUAGAGGCAGGCGGAAUUCCGGGUGUAGCGGUGGAAUGCGUAGAGAUCCGGAAGAACACCGGUGGCGAAGGCGGCCUGCUGGGCAGUAGCUGACACUGAGGCGCGACACGUGGGGGAGCAAAACAGG
rnacentral:rRNA from 1 species